AUCGCUUCUCGGCCUUUUGGCUAAGAUCAAGUGUAAAAGAAUAUGCACAUUUAUUGAAAAUUUGAAGCAUAUUUCAAUAAAAUUUACUUGUUUUUCCUAGAUUUGAAUCAUU
rnacentral:snRNA from 1 species